rnacentral:rRNA from 1 species
UACGUAGGUGGCAAGCGUUGUCCGGAUUUACUGGGCGUAAAGAGCGCGCAGGCGGUCGAUUUAGUCGCGUGUGAAAGCCCCCGGCUCAACUGGGGAGGGUCACGCGAUACUGAUCGACUCGAAGGCAGGAGAGGGUAGUGGAAUUCCCGGUGUAGUGGUGAAAUGCGUAGAUAUCGGGAGGAACACCGGUGGCGAAGGCGGGUCUCUGGGCCGAUACUGACGCUGAGGAGCGAAAGCGUGGGGAGCGAACAGG